rnacentral:rRNA from 1 species
AUUGAACGCUGGCGGCAGGCCUAACACAUGCAAGUCGAACGAGUGGCGGACGGGUGAGUAAUGUCUGGGAAACUGCCUGAUGGAGGGGGAUAACUCCUGGACACGGUAGCUAAUACCGCAUACCAUCGGAUGUGCCCAGAUGGGAUUAGCUAGUAGGUGGGGUAAAGGCUCACCUAGGCGACGAUCCCUAGCUGGUCUGAGAGGAUGACCAGCAAAAUGGGAACUGAGAAACGGUCAAGACGCCAACGGGAGGCAUCAGUGGUGAAUAGUGCACAAUGGGCGAGAGCCUGAUGCAGCCAUGCAGCGUGGAUGAAGAAGGCCUUCGGGUUUUAAAGUACUUUAAGCGGGGAGGCGUUACCCGCAGAAGAAGCACCGGCUAACUCCGUGCCAGCAGCCGCGGUAAUAC